UAGUGCAACUGCGACCUGUUAAGAAUUUUGAUGUGGAUGAGCAUAUAAAAGAAUUUGCAGCAAAGUUAUUUUUAAUACCUAGCCCUCCUCCAGGACCACUCCACUUGGUAUUUAAUAUGAAACCGCUUCAAAUAAUAAUUCCUUCACGAGAGGAUCCAGACAGUCCAAUUAUUGACCUGGAUCUUCAUCUUCCGUUGCUGUGUUUCAAGCCAGAGCAGGUUCUGCAGAUUAUGACCUGCAUUUUAACUGAGCAGAGAAUUGUUUUCUUCUCUUCUGACUGGGCCCUGCUGACACUCGUGGCUGAAUGCUUUAUGUUAUACCUCCAUCCUCUUCAGUGGCAACACACUUUUGUGCCUAUUCUCUCUCGUCAAAUGCUGGAUUUUGUAAUGGCCCCAACAUCUUUUCUUAUGGGAUGUCAUACUGAUCAUUUUGAAGAAG